rnacentral:rRNA from 1 species
UCGAGGAUCUUUCGCAAUGGGCGCAAGCCUGACGAAGCGACGCUGUGUGGACGAUGAAGGCCUUAGGGUUGUAAAGUCCUUUCGCGCAAGAACAAGAGAGGCUGUCUAAUAGGCAACUGAUUUGAGGGUACUGCGUAAAGAAGCACCGGCUAACUCCGUGCCAGCAGCUGCGGUAAUACGGAGGGUGCAAGCAUUAAUCGGAUUUACUGGGCGUAAAGGGCGCGUAGGCGGGUUUGCAAGUCAAAUGUGAAAUUCCGGAGCUCAACUUCGGAACGGCAUUUGAAACUGCAAGUCUAUAGAGGGAUGGCGGAGAAAACGGAAUUCCACAUGUAGCGGUGAAAUGCGUAGAUAUGUGGAAGAACACCAGUGGCGAAAGCGGUUUUCUAGCUAUUACCUGACGCUGAGGCGCGAGAGCAUGGGGAGCAAACAGGAUUAGAUACCCGCGUAGUCC